rnacentral:rRNA from 1 species
GACGAACGCUGGCGGCGUGCUUAACACAUGCAAGUCGAACGGAAAGGCCCUGCUUUUGUGGGGUGCUCGAGUGGCGAACGGGUGAGUAACACGUGAGUAACUUGCCCUUGACUUUGGGAUAACUUCAGGAAACUGGGGCUAAUACCGGAUAGGAGCUCCUGCUGCAUGGUGGGGGUUGGAAAGUUUCGGCGGUUGGGGAUGGACUCGCGGCUUAUCAGCUUGUUGGUGGGGUAGUGGCUUACCAAGGCUUUGACGGGUAGCCGGCCUGAGAGGGUGACCGGCCACAUUGGGACUGAGAUACGGCCCAGACUCCUACGGGAGGCAGCAGUGGGGAAUAUUGCACAAUGGGCGGAAGCCUGAUGCAGCAACGCCGCGUGCGGGAUGACGGCCUUCGGGCUGUAAACCGCUUUCGCCUGUGACGAAGCGUGAGUGACGGUAAUGGGUAAAGAAGCACCGGCUAACUACGUG